rnacentral:lncRNA from 1 species
CCAGCAUAUGUAUAUAUACAUUCCAACAGUUCAAAUCUCAGUCUAGGGCAAAACAUCAGAGCGACUACUAAAUGUACAAAAGAGUGAAUCUUUUUACAAAACAAAAUCCUACAUCAGAAGAAAGGCAUGGAAGAUGGGAAGUGGCCCGGUGGUGGAUUCCUGUGCACGUCUACUGCCUGGGGGCGCAAAACAACAAGGGUGAGUGGACCCAAAAACAAAGCUUAGAAAAUACCAUAUGAACAUACUAACCUCACUGUAAAAACAGUUAUACAAACUAGCUUAUUUUCUUUAUUUUUGAAAUCAAUGCAUGUAUAUAACUAUACAUUUGAAAACAGUUUAAAACUAUCACCGAGGUGUACCCUAUUUCCGUCAAUUCCUUGUAUCCGUCAAUUCUUUGCAUCACCAUGGGUGACGCAUACUCGCAGGUCUCAAUGACACGAAGUCAGUCCGAGCUGCAACUCGCAGGAUACAGGGGACCGUAGUCUACCUUUAUCCGCAUUACUCGCUCCACACGAGUUCGAGUACCAAGGAACUCGUGGGGCAACUGUCAAGCAUGCUGACUAAACCGAAGGCAACAAAUAUAAUCCGAAUGCAACAUUUAAUAACUGGGUACAAGGUGAUUUAAGAAAAUAUAAAGUUUCUGAAGAAAAUCUGUUGAAUAAUUAACUUUCUGUAACCUUUAAAAUUCUGCUGCCAUUUAUCUGAUAAUUAACAAGAAUAUCUGUUCCUAUAAGCUUUAAAGGAAAUUUCACUCGACAGCAUGCAACAUAAAAUAUUUUACAGAAGAAAACAGCUGAUAACUGAAACUAAACUGCUUAAAUUCAUUUAUUAAAACAAAGAGUCCACUCACUGAUAGUUCGAGCUCGCUGGACCUCUUGAAGGUCCCUCAUGCGGGUCAACUGGUGCCCGGGUGCCUGAUUCAAUAACAUAAUAUUCUAUUAAUACAAUAUAGUAUUAAAUUAAAAACCCUACCCCCGGCUCCUAAAAGUACGCGCGUCAAUUUAAAGUGAUCCCUAUACCCAUAACAGCUUUCCUUCCACGUGGGAUAGUUUAGCGAUAUCUUGGGACUCAAAAAGCGCUAAAGUCCAAAAAGUCAAUCCGGAACCCCACGGGUCCAUGACCUCACAAUAUGAUCUGGAUGCCGCUAGAAGGUCCAAUAUAUUUCGGACACAUGUCCCGAGGGUAUUGGUGUCGAUCGGACGGUCGGAUUGAUCACAAUCCUGUAAUCGCAUAAUUUCUCAAACCUAGCCCUAGGGUUCGCGAUUUCGGAGUAUCCGGGACACCGAUUCACAAUCCGUCGAAUCCUACACGUUUUUACAAUUAUCUAGAAUGACAUAUCUAAAAUUGAUUACAAUCCAACGGCUCAACAGUAUUGUACCCGAUAAUUGCACAAUAUGGAAAAUCCGUUCGAGGCUCAAACGGUAUCCAAAUUGAGAUCCGCGAAUUCCUAUGCGCUCGUGAAGACCUAAGGAUCGCAUCAGAACACAGUGUUAUGGCACCACCCUGUCCCACGCGCCGCCGCACGCGCUGGCAGCGAUGAGUGUCCAAAGCGAUUACGCAUCGCCGAAAAAUCUCAAAACCAAGGCUCCAAACUCCUAUCCUAGGUAUAACACCAUAUUUGGAACCACUUUUGUUCUUGGACCAACCCCAAAAACUGACUGGAAGUGGCCAAACACGGAGGCCAAAAGUCGGCUUAAUUUCAAUUUGCUAACUGAGCUAGCUACGGUGAAAAUAAAUGAAAACCUACCCAACCAUCAGCUAGAGCACGGAAAAUAGGUAGAAAUCCAUACCUUACUCGACAAAUUUGGAGGAGAAUUGAAGGAGAACGAACGGUUGGAAGUUUUGACAAAACCGACUCGUUUUUGGACGGAUUCCGGCGACUACAGCGACGGCUGGCAGCGGAGAGUGGUCAGAGCUUGAAGACGGAACCGAGCUGGUUCUGUUGGCACCGACGGCAGGGGCGGAGGUGGUCGGUGGCGGAAGUUGUGGACGUUUGAAGUGCGACGGCUGGAGGAAACGAAAACAGGGAGGGGGGAG